rnacentral:rRNA from 1 species
CCGGUUUUGAGAGGAUUGACGUCACACUUGGACUGAGAACCGCCAGACCCUACGAGCAGCAUGGGGAUCUUCGCAUGGCGAAGGCCUGACGAGCACGCGCGUGAGUGAUGAGGUUCUUCGAACGUAAAACUCUGUUGUUCACGACGACGGGGGACCAGAAAUGGUUUCCAGUGACGUAGUGAACGAGAAGCCACGGCUAACUACGUGCCAGCAGCCGCGGUAAUACGUAGUGCAAGCGUGUCCGGAAUUAUUGGGCGUAAAGCGCAUGUAGGCGGUUCCUUAAGUCGGUCGUGAAAAUGCGGUGCUUAACGCCGUAUGGCGAUCGAAACUGGGGGACUUGAGUGCAGGAGAGGAAAGGGGAACUCCCAGUGUAGCGGUGAAAUGCGUAGAUAUUGGGAAGAACACCGGUGGCGAAGGCGCCUUUCUGGACUGUGUCUGACGCUGAGAUGCGAAAGCCAGGGUAGCGAACGGGAUUAGAUACCCCGGUAGUCCUGGCCGUAAACGAUGGGUACUAGGUGUGGGAGGUAUCGACCCCUUCCGUGCCGGAGUUAACGCAAUAAGUACCCCGCCUGGGGAGUACGGCCGCAAGGCUUAAACUCAAAGGAAUUGACGGGGGCCCGCACAAGCGGUGGAGUAUGUGGUUUAAUUCGACGCAACGCGAAGAACCUUACCAAGGCUUGACAUUGAGUGAAAGACCUGGAGACAGGUCCCCCUCUUCGGAGGCACGAAAACAGGUGGUGCAUGGCUGUCGUCAGCUCGUGUCGUGAGAUGUUGGGUUAAGUCCCGCAACGAGCGCAACCCCUAUCCUAUGUUGCCAGCAUUAAGUUGGGGACUCAUAGGAGACUGCCAGGGAGAACCUGGAGGAAGGCGGGGAUGACGUCAAGUCAUCAUGCCCCUUAUGUCUUGGGCUACACACGUACUACAAUGGUCGGCAACAGAGAGCAGCGAACCCGCGAGGGGGAGCGAACCUCAAAAACCCGAUCCCAGUUCGGAUCGCAGGCUGCAACCCGCCUGCGUGAAGUCGGAAUCGCUAGUAAUCGCAGGUCAGCAUACUGCGGUGAAUACGUUCCCGGGCCUUGUACACACCGCCCGUCACACCACGAAAGUUGGUAACACCCAAAGCCGGUGGGAUAACCGCAAGGAGUCAGCCGUCUAAGGUGGGGCCGAUGAUUGGGGUGAAGUCGUAACAAGGUAAAUCACUGCCGUCGUAACGCCC